rnacentral:misc_RNA from 1 species
CGUUGGACAUUGUCGACUACUUUGGCUGCUUCUUCAACGAUAUCUGUGGCAGCACUUGCCACAUCUUUAACUAUAUUUGACGGGUUUGAGACAGCAUUUGCCACCUCUUGUUGGGCAUUCCCGACUCCUUUGACUGCUUCUUCAACCACAUUUGAGGCAGCGUUUAUCACAUUUGAGGCAGCACCUAGCAAGCUGAAAAAAUAUUAGCCCUGAUUUUUCC